UACGGGGGGAGCAAGCGUUGUUCGGAAUUACUGGGCGUAAAGGGCUCGUAGGCGGCCAACUAAGUCAGACGUGAAAUCCCUCAGCUUAACUGGGGAACUGCGUCUGAUACUGGAUGGCUUGGAUUCGGGAGAGGAAUGCGGAAUUCCAGGUGUAGCGGUGAAAUGCGUGGAUAUCUGGAGGAACACCGGUGGCGAAGGCGGCAUUCUGGACCGAUAUUGACGCUGAGGAGCGAAAGCCAGGGGAGCAAACGGG
rnacentral:rRNA from 1 species